CGAGAAGUAGCGCAGUUGGUAGCGCACUACGUUCGGGACGUAGGGGUCGUCCGUUCGAGUCGGAUCUUCUCGA
rnacentral:tRNA from 1 species